rnacentral:rRNA from 1 species
GACGAACGCUGGCGGCGUGCUUAACACAUGCAAGUCGAACGGAAAGGCCCUGCUUGCAGGGUACUCGCGUGGCGAACAGGUGAGUAACACGUGUGUGAUCUGCCCUGCACUUCGGGAUAAGCCUGGGAAACUGGGUCUAAUACCGGAUAGGAGCCAUUUUUCGUGUGAUGGUUGGAAAGUUUUUUCGGUGUAGGAUGAGCUCGCGGCCUAUCAGCUUGUUGGUGGGGUAAUGGCCUACCAAGGCGGCGACGGGUAGCCGGCCCGAGAGGGUGGACGGCCACAAUGGGACUGGGAUACGGCCCAGACUCCUACGGGAGGCAGCAGUGGGGAAUAUUGCACAAUGGGCGCAAGCCUGAUGCAGCGACGCCGCGUGGGGGAUGACGGCCUUCGGGUUGUAAACCCCUUUCGCUAGGGACGAAGCUUUUUGUGACGGUACCUAGAUAAGAAGCACCGGCUAACUACGUG